AUUGAACGCUGGCGGCAGGCCUAACACAUGCAAGUCGGGCGCGGGGGAGACGGGAGAAUAAUGUGUGGGGAUCUGCCUGAUGGAGGGGGAUAUCUACUAGAAGGGGGAGCAAAUCCCACAUACCAUCAGAUGCCCCCAUAUGGGAAUAGCUUGUAGGUAAGGUAACGGCGUACCUAGGCGACGAUCCCUAGCUGGUCUGAGAGGAUGAUCAGCCACACUGGGACUGAGACACGGCCCAGACUCCUACGGGAGGCAGCAGUGGGGAAUAUUGCACAAUGGGCGCAAGCCUGAUGCAGCCAUGCCGCGUGUAUGAAGAAGGCCUUCGGGUUGUAAAGUACUUUCAGUCGGGAGGCGUUACCGACAGAAGAAGCACCGGCUAACUCCGUGCCAGCAGCCGCGGUAAUUC
rnacentral:rRNA from 1 species